rnacentral:tRNA from 1 species
CGGCUCAGUGAUAAAGUAUCUGCUUAGUAUGUAGAAGGUCCCAGGUUCAAUCCUCAGCAUCCCUCGGUGAAAGG